UGCGAAAGUGCUGCUAAUACCGGACUAAGUCAGCGGGCCGCAUGGCUCGUCGACCAAAGGUGGGGACCUUCGGGCCUGCCGGUCUUGGAGCGGUUCAUGUCCUAUCAGCUUGUUGGUGAGGUAACGGCUCACCAAGGCUGCGACGGGUAGCGGGACUGAGAGGUUGGCCCGCCACGUCGGGACGGAGACACUGCCCGGACACCUACGGGUGGCUGCAGUAACGAAUAUUGGGCAAUGGGCGCAAGCCUGACCCAGCAAUGCCGCGUGCAGGAGGAAGCCCUUCGGGGUGUAAACUGCUGUCAGGGGCUAGCAAGCAACGGGUGUGAAUAGCACCCCGCGCUGAGCCGGCCCAGAGGAAGCCUCGACUAACUCUGUGCCAGCAGUCGCGGUAAGACAGAGGAGGCUAGCGUUGUUCGGAAUCAUUGGGCUUAAAGCGGGUGUAGGCGGCUUGUCAAGUGUCUUGUGAAAGCCCACGGCUCAACCGUGGAAUUGCAGGGCAAACUGGCAGGCUUGAGGUCAGUAGGGGUGUCUGGAACUCUAAGUGGAGCGGUGAAAUGCGGUAGAUAUCUAGAGGAAC
rnacentral:rRNA from 1 species